rnacentral:sRNA from 1 species
UGGACCUCGAGUCUACCAGACCACACGUCC